CUUUUUUUGUUUAGCAGGAAGAGUGACUAUGGAGGCUGACAAAAGGGUUGGUCACGUUAGUCACUCUUCCUGUUAACCAAUUAAAUAAG
rnacentral:pre_miRNA from 1 species